rnacentral:rRNA from 1 species
CGCCCUUAGAGUUUGAUCCUGGCUCAGAGCGAACGCUGGCGGCAGGCCUAACACAUGCAAGUCGAACGAACUCUUCGGAGUUAGUGGCGGACGGGUGAGUAACACGUCGCAACGUGGCCUUAGGUUCUCUUUAAAUUUGGUGGCGGUGUGGUGAGUCCGAAUGUGCCACGUGGGGAUAGAUUUAUCAUCUUUCGAGCGGACCGCGUCUAAUUAGGAAUGUGCCGAGGUAAGAAAGAUUUAUGGCCUUUAGAGCGGCCCGCUCUGGAUUAGCUAGCAGCUGAGUUGGAGCCUCACCAAGGCCAAAACCCGUAGCUGAGGUGAGAGUAUGGACUCCUACACUGGGGGUGAGACACGGACCAAACUCCUACGCGAGGCAGCAGUGGGUCUUAGUGCGCAAAGAUUCUUUGCCCGGGGACGAUAUUGCGCGUACCUGAAGAAGAUCUUCCGGUUGUAAUAUUCUCAGCAGCCGGGGUAAUACGACGGGACCCGGAGUUGCUCGGAAUUACUGCUCCUAACCGGAACGUAGGCGGACAUUUAAGGGGCUGGUGUAAUCCCGGGUUUCAGCCUGUAAAGGGACCGUGAUACUGGAUUUCAGUCGUAUGAGAGAGGUGUGUGCUCAACCUAGUGUAGAGGUGAAAUUCGUAGAGAUUCGAGUAUGAGCCAGUUGUGUGGGCCUCCGAGUGUAGAAUUGAAAUUCGUAGAUAUUCGGAAGAACACCAGUGGCGAAGGCGGCACACUGGCUCAUUACUGACGCUGAGGCUCGAAAGCGUGGGGAGCAAACAGGAUUAGAUACCCUGGUAGUCAAGGGC